AGUGAACGCUGGCGGCGUGCCUAACACAUGCAAGUCGCACGAGAAAGGCUGGGAGAAAUCUUGGCCGAGUAAAGUGGCGCACGGGUGAGUAACGCGUGAGUGACCUACCCUGGUGUCUGGGAUAACCUUGCGAAAGCGGGGCUAAUACCGGAUGAGCCUGCUUGGAGGUGAUCUGGGCAGGGAAAGGGGGCCUCUCGGAGAAGCUCCUGCACUGGGAUGGGCUCGCGUCCUAUCAGCUAGUUGGUAGGGUAAUGGCCUACCAAGGCUACGACGGGUAGCCGGCCUGAGAGGGUGGUCGGCCACACUGGCACUGGAACACGGGCCAGACUCCUACGGGAGGCAGCAGUGAGGAAUAUUGCGCAAUGGCCGCAAGGCUGACGCAGCGACGCCGCGUGGGUGAGGAAGGCCUUCGGGUUGUAAAGCCCUGUCGGCGGGGAAGAACUUCUACUGGGUUAAUAGCCUGGUGGACUGACGGUACCCGCGGAGGAAGCACCGGCUAACUCCGUGCCAGCAGCCGCGGUAAUACGGAGGGUGCGAGCGUUACUCGGAAUUACUGGGCGUAAAGGGCGCGUAGGCGGCCGCGCAAGUCUGGUGUGAAAGCCCAGGGCUUAACCCUGGAAGGGCACUGGAAACUGUGCGGCUUGAGUGCCGGAGAGGAGGGGGGAAUUCCCGGUGUAGCGGUGAAAUGCGUAGAUAUCGGGAGGAAUACCGGUGGCGAAGGCGCCCCUCUGGACGGUAACUGACGCUGAGGCGCGAAAGCGUGGGGAGCAAACA
rnacentral:rRNA from 1 species